AGAGUUUGAUCAUGGCUCAGAAUCAACGCUGGCGGCGCGCCUAACACAUGCAAGUCGAACGCGACAGGGGCAACUCUGUUGAGUGGCGCACGGGUGAGUAACACGUAGGUAAUCUCCCCCCGAGUGGUGGAUAACUUUCCGAAAGGAGAGCUAAUACAGCAUAAGACCACGGGGUCGAAAGACCUUGAGGUCAAAGCGGAGGAUCGCAAGACUUCGCGCUUGGGGAUGAGCCUGCGGCCCAUCAGGUAGUUGGCGGGGUAAUGGCCCACCAAGCCUAAGACGGGUAGCUGGUCUGAGAGGAUGAUCAGCCACACUGGAACUGAGACACGGUCCAGACUCCUACGGGAGGCAGCAGUGGGGAAUCUUGCGCAAUGGACGAAAGUCUGACGCAGCGACGCCGCGUGGGUGAUGAAGGCCUUCGGGUUGUAAAGCCCUGUGGGGAGGGACGAAUAAGUUGCGGCUAAUACCCGCAGCGAUGACGGUACCUCCUUAGCAAGCACCGGCUAACUCUGUGCCAGCCGCCGCGGUAAUAC
rnacentral:rRNA from 1 species